rnacentral:rRNA from 1 species
AUGGCAUGUGUGCGAUCAGUCAAAUAUUCGAUGAAGUUUAAUGGGAGGUUACUGCAAUCAUUCACACCUUCUAGGGGCCUUCGCCAAGGUGACCCCCUAUCCCCAUUUUUGUUCCUAUUUGUUGCUGAUGCUCUCUCUGCUCUAAUUUCCAAAUCAUUAACAAAUGGGGAGUUGCAAGGAGUUACUAUUUGUCGUGGUGCUCCGGUGAUAUCUCACCUCUUACUUGCGGAUGAUACAAUGUUGUUGUUUCAUGCAUCUGGCCAGCAGGCUAACACUAUAAAAGGCUUGUUGAACACUUAUGCCUCAGCGAUGGGUUAA